rnacentral:rRNA from 1 species
UACGUAGGGUGCGAGCGUUGUCCGGAUUUAUUGGGCGUAAAGAGCUCGUAGGCGGUUUGUCGCGUCGGCCGUGAAAUCUCCACGCUUAACGUGGAGCGUGCGGUCGAUACGGGCAGACUUGAGUUCGGUAGGGGAGACUGGAAUUCCUGGUGUAGCGGUGAAAUGCGCAGAUAUCGGGAGGAACACCGGUGGCGAAGGCGGCGACCUGGGUAGAUACUGACGCUGAGGCGCGAAAGCGUGGGGAGCAAACAGG